GACGAACGCUGGCGGCGUGCCUAAUACAUGCAAGUCGAGCGAAUCAAUAGGAGCUUGCUCCUGUUGGUUAGCGGCGGACGGGUGAGUAACACGUGGGCAACCUGCCUGUAAGACUGGGAUAACACCGGGAAACCGGUGCUAAUACCGGAUAAUCCUUUUCCUCUCAUGAGGAAAAGCUGAAAGUCGGUUUCGGCUGACACUUACAGAUGGGCACGCGGCGCAUUAGCUAGUUGGUGAGGUAACGGCUCACCAAGGCGACGAUGCGUAGCCGACCUGAGAGGGUGAUCGGCCACACUGGGACUGAGACACGGCCCAGACUCCUACGGGAGGCAGCAGUAGGGAAUCUUCCACAAUGGACGAAAGUCUGAUGGAGCAACGCCGCGUGAGCGAUGAAGGCCUUCGGGUCGUAAAGCUCUGUUGUUAGGGAAAAACAAGUACCGGAGUCACUGCCGGUACCUUGACGGUACCUAACCAGAAAGCCACGGCUAACUACGUGCCAGCCGCCGCGGUAACAC
rnacentral:rRNA from 1 species